GAGGUCUAGCCUGCCCAGUGACGUUCAACGGCCGCGGUAUCCUAACCGUGCAAAGGUAGCGUAAUCACUUGUCUUCUAAAUAAAGACCAGUAUGAAAGGCACCACGAAGACUAAACUGUCUCCCCCUUCUAAUCAGUGAACCUAAUCUCCCCGUGAAGAAGCGGGGGUAAAGCCAUAAGACGAAAAGACCCUAUGGAGCUUAAAACAAUUAUAUGUUUUUGGUUGGGGUGACCGCGGAGAAAAAUCCAUCCUCCACGAUGAAAAAUAAGCCACAACUUUAUGUAUUAAUAAAUUAACAUCUUUGACCCAAUUACUUUGACUAACGAACCAAGUUACCCUAGGGAUAACAGCGCAAUCCACUUUGAGAGCUCCUAUCGACAAGUGGGCUUACGACCUCGAUGUUGGAUCGGGGUAGCCUAGUGGUGCAGCCGCUACAAAGGUU
rnacentral:rRNA from 1 species